rnacentral:rRNA from 1 species
UGGGGAAUCUUGGACAAUGGGGGCAACCCUGAUCCAGCGACGCCGCGUGAGUGAAGAAGGCCUUAGGGUUGUAAAGCUCUUUCACCGGGGAGGAUGAUGACGUUACCCGGAGAAGAAGCACCGGCUAACUCCGUGCCAGCAGCCGCGGUAAGACGGAGGGUGCUAGCGUUGUUCGGAAUCACUGGGCGUAAAGGGCGCGUAGGCGGCUUGGUUAGUCAGAUGUGAAAGCCCAGGGCUCAACUCUGGAACUGCAUUUGAUACUCCCAAGCUUGAGGACGAAAGAGGAGAGUGGAAUACCCAGUGUAGAGGUGAAAUUCGUAGAUAUUGGGUGGAACACCAGUGGCGAAAGCGGCUCUCUGGUUCGAUACUGACGCUGAGGCGCGAAAGCGUGGGGAGCAAACAGGAUUAGAUACCCCCGUAGUCC